UACAGAGGGGGCAAGCGUUGUUCGGAAUUACUGGGCGUAAAGGGCGCGUAGGCGGCCUGCUAAGUCGAACGUGAAAUCCCUGGGCUCAACCCAGGAACUGCGUCCGAUACUGGUUGGCUUGAAUCCGGGAGAGGGAUGCGGAAUUCCAGGUGUAGCGGUGAAAUGCGUAGAUAUCUGGAGGAAUACCGGUGGCGAAGGCGGCAUCCUGGACCGACAUUGACGCUGAGGAGCGAAAGCUAGGGGAGCAAACGGG
rnacentral:rRNA from 1 species